rnacentral:lncRNA from 1 species
ACAGAGGGGUUUGACCUUAACCAGCUCACAGAUCUCAAUUUUUGCAGACAAAAGAUUAAUUAGCACCCGCCGUGAAAUGAAGUGGUGUGUGAAGAUGACAUGUUGCUUCUCUGAGACCUUAGGCAAGUGUUAUGUGUUAACUGUCAACUUGACAGAAUCCGGAACCACUUGGGAGCUUAACAUCCAGGAAAUGAUUUAACGAAGCCAAAUUCUGGAACGGUGGUUCGUGUCAUGCAAAGAUCCAUUGAGGGCAAGCUUUAAGAGGGCUUAGAAUUGCAGGACAAACCACAGAGUGGGGGGCACAGAGAACAAGGUUUCCUGCCAUCUCACUACUCUGAUCGUCUUGGCUGUAGUUCCAUCACCUUCCAUCACAGACUAUUGCCCAGGUAAAUGCAAGCCAUUUCUGAGGAGUUGGCAAACUUUUCCAGAAACCCUAGAAGACAUCCCCUUGGGCCUCAGCUAUAACCAAAUUGCACAAGCAGCCACUGAUACAUAACUGACUCCUAGCAAAUGAGUUUGCAGCUGAGAGUGAUUGUCCCAGUGAAAGUCAGCGUGGAAAAUGGAGUCUGAGAAGUGGGAACACUACCCACUCUACUCUCCUACCCCACACCCUUUCAUCUUCCACAACUGCCUACUUUACCUAAUCCCUUGUUUUGUGUUACUUCUGUUUUCAACCAAGGGAAACACUUUCCCUGAGUUAUCUCAUCUUCUCUCAAAGAAUCAGGAGCCCUCCAUUUGAGAAUGGCCGCACAGAAGAGGUAAUGUGAACUGGAGAGUUGGUGCGACAGUUAGGAACAUUUGCUGCCCUUCCAGAGGACAUGGGUUUAAUCCAGACACCCACAUGGUGGCUCACAGUUGUCUAUAGCUUCAGUUCCAGGACAUUCUAUGCCUUCUAGCCUUUGAGGACAUCAUGCAUGCACAUGUUCUGUAGACAUACACGGAGUCAAAAUACCCAUACAUGUAACAGUUAAAAAUAAAUUAAAAUUAAAAAACUGA